rnacentral:rRNA from 1 species
AGCGAACGCUGGCGGCAGGCCUAACACAUGCAAGUCGAACGAACUCUUCGGAGUUAGUGGCGGACGGGUGAGUACCACGUGGGAACGUGCAUUUUGGUUCGGAAUAACUCAGGGAAACUUGUGCUAAUACAGAAUGUGCCCUUCGGGGGAAAGAUUUAUCGCCAUUAGAGCGGCCCGCGUCUGAUUCGCUAGUUGGUGAGGUAACGGCUCACCAAGGCGACGAUCAGUAGCUGGUCGGAGAGGAUGACCAGCCACACUGGGACUGAGACACGGCCCAGACUCGGACGGGAGGCAGCAGUGGGGAAUCUUGCGCAAGGGGCGAAAGCCUGACGCAGCCAUGCCGCGUGAAUGAUGAAGGUCUUAGGAUUGUAAAAUUCUUUCACCGGGGACGAUAAUGACGGUACCCGGAGAAGAAGCCCCGGCUAACUUCGUG